rnacentral:lncRNA from 10 species
AAAAGAGUCAGCUAUGUUCCAGACAGGAAUCAGAAUGUGCAAAGGCCCUGAGUUUGGAAAGAGCAUGUCAACAAUAACCCGAACCAACAAUUGUGUAGAGAACUGGCACAGCACAGUGGAUAACAGCAAGGAUGCUGUGGUCUCCCUGCUCAACUUCACGUGCCAUGGUUAGAUGUGUGACCUUGCAGAAGUUUGCCUAUCUUUACCAAGAGCUUGAUGAUUUGAACCACUGACUGAUUGCCCUGUACUUGGAGGAUGUGAGGAAGCAGAAUUGAGCCAAUAAAGAGAAGAGGAAGAAGGAGCCACAGAACUGAGUGGGAUGUCCCCUGAGCACUCCUUGGUGGAGCAAAAGUCUUGCAAGUCUCUAGUGCGCUGGGCAGGCUGAGGGCGUUCAGCCGAGAACACAGCUCUGUAAAUACAUCAGCGAGGAUGCAUAUAUACAGUUUCCCCAGUGCUCCCUCAGACCCUUGGAGGCUGGGCUACUCCAAGCUCUGUUUCCUGCAAAAAAAUGGAGUAAGUCCUGUGGAGUCUAAAUACACAUUCCCUCUGCAUUAUACCCACGCCUCGACUUCAUUAUAUCUAGGAGCACUGAGACAAAGAGAUUUAUAACAAACUUCAUCCAAGCCAAGAAUGAAACACGGCAGCCUCCAUGCAGCAGGAAACCCAUUGAUCUGUUUCUUAUAAGCAUGUGGUUCUAUGCUGUUUUUCUGCCAAAGCUUUUCCCUGCCUCCCACUUGAGGAGCAUACACCAGCUGAUUCUGCAGAUUGACUCUACAUCAUUCUCUGUCAUGAAGCCAUGGCAUGUGUUUAUGCGUCUGUAACAAAGCGUUUAUAUUCUGCCAUCUGCAUAAAAACUGC